rnacentral:rRNA from 1 species
GAUGAACGCUAGCUACAGGCUUAACACAUGCAAGUCGAGGGGAAACGACAUCGAAAGCUUGCUUUUGAUGGGCGUCGACCGGCGCACGGGUGAGUAACGCGUAUCCAACCUGCCCAUCACUUGGGAAUAACCUUGCGAAAGUAAGACUAAUACCCAAUGAUAUCCCACGAAGGCAUCGGAAUGGGAUUAAAGAUUUAUCGGUGAUGGAUGGGGAUGCGUCUGAUUAGCUUGUUGGCGGGGUAACGGCCCACCAAGGCAACGAUCAGUAGGGGUUCUGAGAGGAAGGUCCCCCACAUUGGAACUGAGACACGGUCCAAACUCCUACGGGAGGCAGCAGUGAGGAAUAUUGGUCAAUGGGCGAGAGCCUGAACCAGCCAAGUAGCGUGCAGGAAGACGGCCCUAUGGGUGGUAAACUGCUUUUAGAAGGGAAUAAAGUGGGUCACGUGUGACUUUUUGCAGGUACCUUAUGAAUAAGGACCGGCUAAUUCCGUG